GGCUGUGGCUCAGUGGUAGAGCACUUGCCUCACACGUGUGAGGCACUGGGUUCAAUUCUCAACACCA
rnacentral:tRNA from 1 species